AGAGUAAUGCACAUGUGACCAAGGAUUGUCCUACAAUCCCUGCUUUUCAAGAAGUGUUGCAUGAUCAAGCAAAUUUCACCAAUACUUAUAAAAGACCAUUUCCAGAAACAUAUAAUCCUAGUUGGCGAAACCAUCCUAACUUUAGUUGGAGACAUGGACCCACUGCCAAUGAAUCUCAAGGAAAUUAUGUUCCUACUCCUUAUGUGCCACCACAUAGAAAAUCCCUUGAAGAUACUUUGCAAACCUUCAUGCAAGGGCAGACUCAAAUAAAUCAGAAUACAAUGCAAUCACUCCAAGAACUUAAAAAUUCUAUAGGUAGAAUUGAGGC
rnacentral:lncRNA from 1 species